AAAAUCAUGGUGUUCAUACUGAUUGCUCAUGAAACGAAGAAUUGAAAGCACCAAUGGCUUGCCUCAAGUAUGGGGACUUCAGAAAACCACAGAAACACAAGGAUACUACAUUGAAUUAUGAGAUUCAGAUCCAAAAAGUUUGAAUGGAUACCUUCAAAUGGAUGAACUUCUGGCCAUGAAUUCUCCAAGAUCUUUGCUCCUCUUUG
rnacentral:lncRNA from 1 species